rnacentral:rRNA from 1 species
GACGAACGCUGGCGGCGUGCUUAACACAUGCAAGUCGAACGGAAAGGCCCUGCUUUUGUGGGGUGCUCGAGUGGCGAACGGGUGAGUAACACGUGAGUAACCUGCCCUUGACUUUGGGAUAACUUCAGGAAACUGGGGCUAAUACCGGAUAGGAGCUCCUGCUGCAUGGUGGGGGGUGGAAAGUUUCGGCGGUUGGGGAUGGACUCGCGGCUUAUCAGCUUGUUGGUGGGGUAGUGGCUUACCAAGGCUUUGACGGGUAGCCGGCCUGAGAGGGUGCCCGGCCACGUUGGGACUGAGAUCCGCCCAAGGCCCCUGGGGGGGGCAGCAGUGGGGAAUAUUGCACAUGGGGCGGAGGCCUGAUGCAGCAACGCCGCGUGGGGGAUGCCGCCCUUGGGGUUGAAAACCUCUUUCCCCUGGGACGAAGCGUGAGUGACGGUAAUGGGAAAAGAAGCCCCGGCUAACCACG